UACCUACGGGGCGCAGCAGUGAGGAAUAUUGGUCAAUGGGCUAAGGCCUGAACCAGCCAAGUCGCGUGAGGGAAGACGGUCCUAUGGAUUGUAAACCUCUUUUGUCGGGGAGCAACGAGGCCACGUGUGGCCGAAGUGAGAGUACCCGAAGAAAAAGCAUCGGCUAACUCCGUGCCAGCAGCCGCGGUAAUACGGAGGAUCUGAGCGUUAUCCGGAUUUAUUGGGUUUAAAGGGAGCGUAGGUGGAUUGUUAAGUCAGUUGUGAAAGUUUGCGGCUCAACCGUAAAAUUGCAGUUGAAACUGGCA
rnacentral:rRNA from 1 species